UACAGAGGUCCCAAGCGUUGUUCGGAUUCACUGGGCGUAAAGGGUGCGUAGGCGGCGGAGUAAGUUCGAUGUGAAAGCUCCAGGCUCAACCUGGAAAUGGCAUUGAAUACUACUCUGCUUGAGGCUUGGAGAGGGGACUGGAAUGCUCGGUGUAGCAGUGAAAUGCGUAGAGAUCGAGCGGAACACCAGUGGCGAAGGCGAGUCCCUGGACAAGUCCUGACGCUGAGGCACGAAAGCUAGGGGAGCAAACAGG
rnacentral:rRNA from 1 species